rnacentral:rRNA from 1 species
UGGCGGCGCGCCUAACACAUGCAAGUCAAACGAGAAAGUCCGCAAGGAUGAGUACAGUGGCGUACGGGUGAGUAACACGUGGAUGAUCUACCUUCUGGUGGGGAAUAACCCUGGGAAACCGGGGCUAAUACCGCAUAAGUCCGAGAGGAGAAAGCAGCAAUGCGCCGGAAGAGGAGUCCGCGGCCGAUUAGCUAGUUGGCAGGGUAAAAGCCUACCAAGGCAAAGAUCGGUAGCCGGCCUGAGAGGGCACACGGCCACACUGGCACUGAAACACGGGCCAGACUCCUACGGGAGGCAGCAGUGGGGAAUCUUGCACAAUGGGGGAAACCCUGAUGCAGCGACGCCGCGUGAGCGAUGAAGCCCUUCGGGGUGUAAAGCUCUUUCGGCAGGGAAGAUGAUGACGGUACCUGCAGAAGCAGCUGCGGCUAACUACGUGCCAGCAGCCGCGGUAAUACGUAGGCAGCAAGCGUUGUUCGGAGUUACUGGGCGUAAAGGGUGUGUAGGCGGUUGUUUAAGUUUGGUGUGAAAUCUCCCGGCUCAACCGGGAGGGUGCGCCGAAUACUGAAUGACU